CGAACGCUGGCGGCAGGCUUAACACAUGCAAGUCGAGCGAGAUCUUCGGAUCUAGCGGCGGACGGGUGAGUAACGCGUGGGAACGUGCCCUUUGCUACGGAAUAGUCCCGGGAAACUGGGUUUUAAUACCGUAUACGCCCUUCGGGGGAAAGAUUUAUCGGCAAAGGAUCGGCCCGCGUUGGAUUAGGUAGUUGGUGGGGUAAUGGCCUACCAAGCCGACGAUCCAUAGCUGGUUUGAGAGGAUGAUCAGCCACACUGGGACUGAGACACGGGCCCAGACUCCUACGGGAGGACAGCAGUGGGGAAUUCUUAGACAAAUGGGGGCAAACCCCUGAUUCUAAG
rnacentral:rRNA from 1 species